GGGGAUUUAGCUCAGUGGUAGAGCACUUGCCCAGCAAGCUCAAGGCCCCGGGUUCAGUCCCCA
rnacentral:tRNA from 1 species